GGCUGGUCUGAUGGCAGUGGGUUAUCAGAACUUAUUAACAUUAGUGUCACUAAAGUUGGUAUACCCCCCCCCACACACUGCUAAAUUUGACUGCUUAAA
rnacentral:Y_RNA from 1 species